CGGGGAGUGGCGCAGUCUGGUAGCGCACCACGUUCGGGACGUGGGGGUCGGAGGUUCAAAUCCUCUCUCCCCGACCA
rnacentral:tRNA from 1 species